GAAGCUCUGAGUGAAAAGGCCGUGUGCCAUCUCUGUGUGUAAUAGGAAAGGCUGAAGCCUAGCUAGCGUGUGUAACAAAAUUAUAAGUAGUGUAGCUGCGUGUUACAUUAAUAUACAAGUUGUGUGUGUUUGUAUCCUAAUAUAUCGGAAGUUUUUGGUUUAAGGCCCAUACACGUUUCCAACAAGAACCUCCCUUAUCAGGAAAAGAAAAGGGCAGAGCAAUCAGCUGUAUAUGCAAGGAGGGGAGGUUUAAAAACUGCCACUCGACGUUCUUUCAGGCCUCGUUACUUCAGCCAACGCAUUUGGGACAACCUCAACUCGUAUUGGGGGUCUGACUUAUUUAAAAAAAGGUCUGAUAAUGCCAAGAAAGCUCGAGCGCAGGUGGAACAUAUUCACCACAGUGGGGCCAAGCCUUUCAGCGAGAGAAGGGAGGAACUCGAGGAAGAAAAAUAAGGGAAUAUUUUUGAUAUGGAGUUCAUGAAUCAUGUGUACCACUUUGAUGAUCCAGCUACUCAAAAAUUGAAGGGAACUAGUAUUGAAAAGGCACCAAUAGAUCGUGAUACCUCUCGCAGCAAUGAUGAAGAUGAUGACGAAGAUGAUGAAGCGGAGGACUUCCCCCUUCAUUAACUGCACAAGGUUUAUCAACGACUUAACUUUUGGAACAAAUCUUUUGAGACUUGCCUAUAAAGACUAAACAUUUCUGACGUAGAUGUAUGUUUUGCGUACAAAAUCAGUCUGUAGUACUUAGUCAGUCUGUAGGGCCGAAGGCAGCCUUUAACUUUCGUGACUAGACGUUUAGUAGGUUGAACAUAUUUUGCUAAACAUUCUGCGGAACCUUGCAGAACCUCUGGUAUUAAGCUUCCUAUAUGGUCUGAAGAUGCAUGUAUUUGAAGCAGUAGUUUAUCUCUUACAAUUUUUGCCUUGGUUGAUUUUGGUUAGAUAGUCAUAUGAUUGGAUUGGUGAUUCGAAUAAAAAAAUUUACAGAUGGGAUUAUG